AUGACCAUCAGUUUGUUCAAGGCUCCUCCCUGUUGAAAGCAACAAGCUCCAAAAAUACACAAACACAAAAAACCUCUUCUAAACCCCUGACAUCUCAGCUGCAAAACCUCCGACUCACUGAUACAGUGACACUGAGGAUGGAAACAAAAGUGUUCAUCUGUGCUCUGUGUGUCUGUUUGGUGACACUUCUAGGGCAUGAGACAUCAUCCAAGAAAACACCCAAGACUUACGUAAAUUCAUUCACAUUUCUGACAUACAUACCCUCAGAGGAAGGUCCUGUUAAUGGAAAUAAUUCCGAGCAGAUGACAAACCAUACGUUAAAUGCAAAUACAACCCAAGAAAGUAUUUUGGAAACAACCGUUGCACCGAACCUUGCAGAGAAUGAUGGGAAACAUAAUGACACAUGAGUCUCAGACACAACUCAAGGGCUACAAAACCCUGAAGACAAGUCAUGAUUAAGGACAAGUAAAAAGACAAGAGAAUUGGAAAACAGUCAACCCUGAUGAAAUGACAUGCUUUAUUGUCUGUUGAACAAAUUACCUUUGUAUUGUACAAUAUGCAACGUCACAUGUAAAAGAUGUGCCUGAUUAAAUGUACAAAGAAAAAAAGAAACCCAACUCAUGACCAUAAUGACUGUGCUAUGCUAGACGGUGAAUGAUAAAACAUUGAGAGUAAGCUAUUAUUAUUAUAGUACAGUAUAUCAAAAGUAGAUAAUUGCAUUAGUAAAGUUAAAGGGUUAAAUAACAAUUUUAUUAGCCUAUGUAUGCUUAUCAAAAGUGUAAUUUUCAUUAUUUGGUGAUAAUUAAACUGUCCACUGGGGAAGUUGUUUCUGGGUUAAAACUUGUAAUAACUACUUUGAAAUCACAUCUCAAACUGUGAUAAUCCGCUGAUUAUAUGUUCUUAAAUAACAUAAUAUAUAAUAAAAACUUGAGGUAGCCAACAAGCCUACAAAACUACCAAUGUUAAAUGCCAAGAGAAUCUGAUUUAUAAUCUCUUGGGUAGAGGUUUAAACAAUAAGGCUAGAUGUUGAGAAUGGACACAAAACCUAGUCUGUUGAUAAUUUAGGCCUAUUUCUUCUCACAUUCAUGUGUUUGUAUUUCCUGUCAAAUUGCUUCAUAUAUUGUCCAAAAUGAUAUUCUAUAUGUUCGUCAAAAAAGGAUUUGCACCUGUAUGGUCUGUAUGGUCAUGGUUAAAAUGGGAUAACCAGACCAAUCCAGCAGAUAUAUUUCAGGGAUUAUUUUAACAUGCCCCUAAUCUAAUUUGACCUGAGACAGAGGAGACUAAUAAUUGCCUGACUAAUCCUUGUUUACAUUUUUUAUAUAUUCAUUGUAUAUGUUUAGAUUGAAACUUUAUAUACAGGUGCAUCUCAAUAAAUUAGAAUGUCGUGGAAAAGUUCAUUUAUUUCAGUAAUUCAACUCAAAUUGUGAAACUCGUGUAUUAAAUAAAUUCAAUGCACACAGACU
rnacentral:lncRNA from 1 species